rnacentral:rRNA from 1 species
AAAAAGCGGAGGAAAAGAAACCAACUGGGAUUACCUUAGUAACGGCGAGUGAAGCGGUAAAAGCUCAAAUUUGAAAUCUGGUACUUUCAGUGCCCGAGUUGUAAUUUGUAGAAUUUGUCUUUGAUUAGGUCCUUGUCUAUGUUCCUUGGAACAGGACGUCAUAGAGGGUGAGAAUCCCGUUUGGCGAGGAUACCUUUUCUCUGUAAGACUUUUUCGAAGAGUCGAGUUGUUUGGGAAUGCAGCUCAAAGUGGGUGGUAAAUUCCAUCUAAAGCUAAAUAUUGGCGAGAGACCGAUAGCGAACAAGUACAGUGAUGGAAAGAUGAAAAGAACUUUGAAAAGAGAGUGAAAAAGUACGUGAAAUUGUUGAAAGGGAAGGGCAUUUGAUCAGACAUGGUGUUUUUUGCAUGCACUCGCCUCUCGUGGGCUUGGGCCUCUCAAAAAUUUCACUGGGCCAACAUCAAUUCUGGCAGCAGGAUAAAUCAUUAAGAAUGUAGCUACUUCGGUAGUGUUAUAGCUUUUUGGAAUACUGUUAGCCGGGAUUGAGGACUGCGCUUCGGCAAGGAUGUUGGCAUAAUGGUUAAAUGCCGCCCGUCUUGACC